UGGGGAAUAUUGCACAAUGGNNNNNAGCCUGAUGCAGCGACGCCGCGUGAGGGAUGACGGCCUUCGGGUUGUAAACCUCUUUCAGCAGGGAAGAAGCGCAAGUGACGGUACCUGCAGAAGAAGCACCGGCUAACUACGU
rnacentral:rRNA from 1 species